rnacentral:rRNA from 1 species
CGGACACGCCGCGUGAGUGAUGAAGGUUUCGGAUCGUAAAACUCUGUUGUUAGGGAAGAACAAUGAUAUAACUGAUGGCACCUUGACGGUACCUAACCAGAAAGCCACGGCUAACUACGUGCCAGCAGCCGCGGUAAUACGUAGGUGGCAAGCGUUGUCCGGAAUUAUUGGGCGUAAAGCGCUCGCAGGCGGUUCUUUAAGUCUGAUGUGAAAUCUCGCGGCUCAACCGCGAACGGUCAUUGGAAACUGGAGGACUUGAGUACAGAAGAGGAGAGUGGAAUUCCACGUGUAGCGGUGAAAUGCGUACAGAUGUGGAGGAACACCAGUGGCGAAGGCGACUCUCUGGUCUGUAACUGACGCUGAGGAGCGAAAGCGUGGGGAGCGAACAGGAUUAGAUACCCUGGUAGUCCACGCCGUAAACGAUGAGUGCUAGG